rnacentral:rRNA from 1 species
UACGUAGGGGGCGAGCGUUGUCCGGAGUUACUGGGCGUAAAGGGCAUGCAGGCGGUCGGACGCGUUUCGGGUGACAGCGGGUGGCUUAACUACCCGAGUGGUCGAAAGACGGUUUGACUUGAGGACGCGAGAGGGACACGGAAUUCCGGGUGGAGUGGUGAAAUGCGUAGAGAUCCGGAGGAACACCGAAGGCGAAGGCAGUGUCCUGGCGCGUAACUGACGCUGAGGUGCGAAAGCCAGGGGAGCGAACGGA